rnacentral:rRNA from 1 species
CACGUAGGCGGACUUUUAAGUCAGGGUGAAAUCCCGGGGCUCAACCCCGGAACCUGCCUUUGAUACUGGAAGUCUUGAGUAUGGUAGAGGUGAGUGGAAUUCCGAGUGUAGAGGUGAAAUUCGUAGAUAUUCGGAGGAACACCAGUGGCGAAGGCGGCUCACUGGACCAUUACUGACGCUGAGGUGCGAAAGCGUGGGGAGGCAAAACA